rnacentral:rRNA from 1 species
AUACAACAGCUGUAAUUUACUUGACCUUGACAACCUACUUGGAUAACUGUGGUAAUUCUAGAGCUAAUACAUGCACCAAAGCUCCGAUCCCUUGCGGAGAGGAGCGCAUUUGUUCGCCACAAAACCAAGCGCCCUCACGGGCGUUCAGUGUUGACUCAGAAUAACUAAGCUGAUCGCACGGUCUUGCACCGGCGACGUGUCUUUCAAGUGUCUGCCUUAUCAACUUUCGAUGGUAGUGUACCUGACUACCAUGGUGAUGACGGGUAACGGAGGAUCAGGGUUCGACUCCGGAGAAGGGGCCUGAGAAAUGGCCACUACGUCUAAGGAUGGCAGCAGGCGCGCAAAUUACCCACUCUCAACGCGAGGAGGUAGUGACGAGAAAUAACGAGACCGUUCUCACAAGAGGCCGGUCAUCGGAAUGGGUACAACACAAACCCUUUAACGAGUAUCUAUGAGAGGGCAAGUCUGGUGCCAGCAGCCGCGGUAAUUCCAGCUCUCAAAAUGCAUAGAAUUAUUGCUGCGGUUAAAAAGCUCGUAGUUGGAUCUGUGCUGGUCGCCCGGUCCACCCUCUGUGGUGCGCACUGGUGCGGCCGGCUUUCCUGUCCGCUUCCUCACCGGCGUUGGCCUUCAUCGGCAGGCGUCGGCGGGCGGACGAGUUUACUUUGAACAAAUCAGAGUGCUUCACACAGGCGUUUCGCCUGAAUGUUCGUGCAUGGAAUAAUAGAAGAGGAUUUCGGUCCGAUUUUAUUGGUUUUGCUGACCGAGAUAAUGGUUAACAGAGACAAACGGGGCCAUUCGUAUUGCUACGUGAGAGGUGAAAUUCUUGGACCGUAGCAAGACGGACUACAGCGAAAGCAUUUGGCAAGAAUGUCUUCAUUAAUCAAGAACGAAAGUCAGAGGUUCGA